GUUUAGAGAAGAGAGCACAAAAUAGAAAAGGGAACCAAGGAUCUGCGGCACAGACAGGCUCACCUCUUCAAAAACACGUGCUUGCUGCCCUGUGUUUGUAGCUGCCAUGGCUGCUAGGAUGCAGAGUGCGUACCGGUGAGAAAUUGCCUUCCUCUUUGUGAUAAAAGUCUAAGGGAAGGGUUACUACCUGAGUCCAAGUGCCACGCUCAAAGGAGACACUGCUUUAUAAGAGCAUGGAAGCUAUCUCUCUUCACUUCUUACAACUCCCAGAAUGAUGAAACUGAAACCUGAAGAGAAGAGACUUGCUGCAGGAUGCACAGCUGAUAUGUGGCAGGACCAGGACUUGAUUCCAGGGUUUCUUUCUCAAAGUGCAAUGUUUUCUCCUACUACACACCAAGCUGAAAAAUAAAAAGUGCAUUUUGAUACUUUA